GUAGUAAUAGUUAUGUUCUUGAAACUUAAAAAAUUUGGCGGUAUUUUAGUCUAUUCAGAGGAAUUUGUUUUUUAAUCGAUAAUCCUCGUUGAACCUAACUUUAAUUUGUAAUCAAUUUAUAUACCGUCGUUAACAGAAUAUUUUAAAAGAAUAAUAAUUUUCAAUUAAUUAGAUUAAUUUGUAUAUCAGAUCAAGGUGUAGUUUAUAUUAAAGUAAAAAUGAAUUACAAUAAAUGUAUUUAUAUGAAUGUAAAAAUGAAAUUUAUUUUAUUGAAAGUGGAUUUGAUAGUAAAUUUAUAAAGAUUAAUAAAUUGAUUAUAGCUCUAAAAUAUGUACACAUCGCCCGGUCGCCUCU
rnacentral:rRNA from 1 species